UACGAAGGGGGCUAGCGUUGCUCGGAAUCACUGGGCGUAAAGGGCGCGUAGGCGGCGUUUUAAGUCGGGGGUGAAAGCCUGUGGCUCAACCACAGAAUGGCCUCGAUACUGGGACGCUUGAGUAUGGUAGAGGUUGGUGGAACUGCGAGUGUAGAGGUGAAAUUCGUAGAUAUUCGCAAGAACACCGGUGGCGAAGGCGGCUAUCUGGACAGAAACUGACGCUGAGGCGCGAAAGCUAGGGGAGCAAACAGG
rnacentral:rRNA from 1 species